GCUGAAUCAGGGAGUAGCCAUGAUUCUCCCGCUCCAGAAAGACGCAGGUUAAGAUCCUCCCUGAGUAUGGAGGAAGCAGAUGGAAGAAGGCAGUCAGACUGAGUGCUGAGCUUCCAAGGGCCCACAAAGAACAUGGACCUUUAACAUUCUGUCAUCCUGAUCAACGAGUCUGAGGCUGGACAUAAACGACGUGCGAUCAGCCUGCCCGAGUGCCAUGGACUAAUGCACCCAAAAUGUUCUCAAACUGCGCUUUGUUGCCGCAUACCGCACCCCUGUGUCUGCGCUCUGUGCACUGACACCCAGUUUGCGAGCUUCGGGCAAGGGGGCUGGAGGUUAAAAUACACAGACACACACAGACAGAGAGACAGCGACACGGGUCAUCCUUGAAUUCCCCAAGAAUGCCCCCUUUAUUGUGUUCACGGGCAGAUUAUAUAGAGAUAGCCACGCCCCAGCCAAACCCACCAGAAACCACUCUCCUGCCAUCCUGACAGGAGACAACUCCUGAAGGUCUCGUGCUCAGAGCAGCUGUAGGCACUCAGAUCAGGGGAUUACAAGAAAUUCAGGAUCUGGGGUCUCACUGCUCCCAACACUUUGUGAAUAAAGACUUCAUAUAGACUGUC